GACAGGGGGCUCGAGCGUUAAUCGGAAUCAUUGGGCUUAAAGGGUGCGUAGGCGGGUUGCUAAGUGUUCUGUGAAAUCCCCCGGCUCAACCGGGGAAUCGCAGGGCAUACUGGCAGCCUUGAGGCAUGUAGGGGCGGACGGAACUGUAGGUGGAGCGGUGAAAUGCGUAGAUAUCUACAGGAACGCCGAUGGGGAAGACGGUCCGCUGGGCAUGUCCUGACGCUGAGGCACGAAAGCGUGGGGAGCAAACAGG
rnacentral:rRNA from 1 species